rnacentral:rRNA from 1 species
GACGAACGCUGGCGGCGUGCUUAACACAUGCAAGUCGAACGGAAAGGCCCUGCUUUUGUGGGGUGCUCGAGUGGCGAACGGGUGAGUAACACGUGAGUAACCUGCCCUUGACUUUGGGAUAACUUCAGGAAACUGGGGCUAAUACCGGAUAGGAGCUCCUGCUGCAUGGUGGGGGUUGGAAAGUUUCGGCGGUUGGGGAUGGACUCGCGGCUUAUCAGCUUGUUGGUGGGGUAGUGGCUUACCAAGGCUUUGACGGGUAGCCGGCCUGAGAGGGUGACCGGCUACAUUGGGACUGAGAUACGGCCCAGACUCCUACGGGAGGCAGCAGUGGGGAAUAUUGCACAAUGGGCGGAAGCCUGAUGCAGCAACGCCGCGUGCGGGAUGACGGCCUUCGGGUUGUAAACCGCUUUCGCCUGUGACGAAGCGCGAGUGACGGUAAUGGGUAAAGAAGCACCGGCUAACUACGUG